rnacentral:rRNA from 1 species
AUUGAACGCUGGCGGCAGGCUUAACACAUGCAAGUCGAACGGGCACUUCGGUGCUAGUGGCAGACGGGUGAGUAACGCGUGGGAACGUACCUUUCGGUUCGGAAUAAUUCAGGGAAACUUGGACUAGUACCGGAUACGCCCUUCGGGGGAAAGAUUUAUCGCCGAUAGAUCGGCCCGCGUCUGAUUAGCUAGUUGGUGAGGUAAUGGCUCACCAAGGCGACGAUCAGUAGCUGGUCUGAGAGGAUGAUCAGCCACGUUGGGACUGAGACACGGCCCAAACUCCUACGGGAGGCAGCAGUGGGGAAUAUUGGACAAUGGGCGCAAGCCUGAUCCAGCCAUGCCGCGUGAGUGAUGAAGGCCUUAGGGUUGUAAAGCUCUUUUGUCCGGGAAGAUAAUGACUGUACCGAAAGAAUAAGCCCCGGCUAACUUCGUGCCAGCAGCCGCCGUAAGAC